ACCUUCCACUCUUCCAGAGCAGGCAGCCAGGAUGAACUUUUUCUAGGAUUUAAUAUCCGCGCCUUUCUUCGCCAAACGAACCCGCCUCUCCUCGAAACGCAGCGGAUCUGAGCCUCUGGAGUAGGGGUGGGAAGAAUCCUGGCGUGGAGGUUGGAUGUGUCUGGAUGCGAUGGGCUCAAGCGCAAGUCGCCCGCUGCACCCCCUCCGCUCUCCGCCACAGGGCGUGGACUCGUGGGGAUCAGGUGAUGGGGCAACCGCUAUUCGUUCGUGCUGCCUGCUCCAUGCAGGUAAGUUUCCUGGAAUCUUCCAUGCAGCUUGGGUGGACCUUGCGCGGAAUGGCCGAAGGAUGUUCCCUCUGUCAGCCAGCAGCAUUUCCCUCUUUGCUCGGGUAUUUCAUUGUUUAAGCGGAUAUCCCGUCACGCCCGCGCGAGCACUUUUCUCCGCGCCUAAACUUUUCAACCAUACAAGAAAACCCUAGCCGGGCGUACGACAUUCUACUCUCGACUCUCGUACAUGUGGACUCUAUGGAUGCGAUGUUGCUGUGCUGAACUGCUGAUCGACAUCGGUGGCACAAGGUUUGCUGCUGAGACGAGGAUGGGCGAUCGAAUACUUCCUCUUCACCAACACGCAUCUACAUUGAACCAACUGCUUCAACUAUUCUCCGUUGUGCCGUACGUUUAGUAAUAACAAUCCAUAACCCUAUUACUCGCAUAUUCCUUGAACAUGGUAAAUGAUACAUUAUUAUAGCUAGCGUAACCAAUCCAACAGUACUGUACCUAUUCCUUGACUUGUCCAUCAUCUUAGUUGUAAUCCUAUCUCGCUAUCUACGAAA